rnacentral:rRNA from 1 species
UACGGAGGGGGCUAGCGUUGUUCGGAAUUACUGGGCGUAAAGCGUACGUAGGCGGAUCAGAAAGUUGGGGGUGAAAUCCCGGGGCUCAACCUCGGAACUGCCUUCAAAACUAUUGGUCUUGAGUUCGAGAGAGGUGAGUGGAAUUCCGAGUGUAGAGGUGAAAUUCGUAGAUAUUCGGAGGAACACCAGUGGCGAAGGCGGCUCACUGGCUCGAUACUGACGCUGAGGUGCGAAAGCGUGGGGAGCGAACAGG